rnacentral:rRNA from 1 species
UACGUAGGGGGCAAGCGUUGUCCGGAAUUAUUGGGCGUAAAGAGCUCGUAGGCGGUUUGUCGCGUCUGCCGUGAAAGUCCGGGGCUCAACUCCGGAUCUGCGGUGGGUACGGGCAGACUAGAGUGAUGUAGGGGAGACUGGAAUUCCUGGUGUAGCGGUGAAAUGCGCAGAUAUCAGGAGGAACACCGAUGGCGAAGGCAGGUCUCUGGGCAUUAACUGACGCUGAGGAGCGAAAGCAUGGGGAGCGAACAGGG